ACCUUCGGGCCUUGCGCUAUCAGAUGAGCCUAGGUCGGAUUAGCUAGUAGGUGAGGUAAUGGCUCACCUAGGCGACGAUCCGUAACUGGUCUGAGAGGAUGAUCAGUCACACUGGAACUGAGACACGGUCCAGACUCCUACGGGAGGCAGCAGUGGGGAAUAUUGGACAAUGGGCGAAAGCCUGAUCCAGCCAUGCCGCGUGUGUGAAGAAGGUCUUCGGAUUGUAAAGCACUUUAAGUUGGGAGGAAGGGCAGUAAGUUAAUACCUUGCUGUUUUGACGUUACCAACAGAAUAAGCACCGGCUAACUUCG
rnacentral:rRNA from 2 species